UCCACAGCUUCCCUGAAUGCCUCCAGGUUCCCACAGAUGGGGUGUGUUUUACUGCUGCUGCUGGGGACGAAGUCCACAGAGUCCUGGCCUGUUUGAGAUCCCGUGGACCAAACCACCUGGUCACUGUCUGUCUGCAGUCAGUCUACAGUGCACUGAUAUGAUGACACCCAACCGCUCCUGCACUACGAAGGAGUUUGGGGACUGAGGGACAGGACCUCAGCUGUCAGCUUCGCACGUUCUCAGGAUGUGUUUCAGAGGUGAGUUCCAGACCCAGGUUGGGGGUGGGGCCAACCUAGGUUAAGGCUGGGCUGGGGAAGCUACAGCUGCCUUUGCUCCGCGAACCCACUAGAGGGCACUGUCCGCCUCCUCCCGACUUCCUGGCAGGGGAAGUAGAUUGGACUCCCAAACGGAAGAAACUAAGGCAGAGGAAGCGUCCACUGUGGGGGCCUCACAAUUGAGGACAGCAAAUCUGGUAUGACCGGACACCUCCUCCCCACACCAAUACAAAGACCCACGCCGCACACCUACACAUCUCGACAGACAGCCCUCUUGUGGGCAGCAAACACAGCACACACCCUAACCACACUCCCUUGUCCAUCUCUAAUAUGCUCUCCUGCCUUGGCUCCUUCGAGUCAACAAAUCCAGUUUUCCAGAAAUGAAGGGUAGGGGCAGGCAGCACACACACAGACCCUCGAGCACACACGGAGACCUCAGAAGGCGUGCCCUAGUGGACCCCCAUGCAGAACAACUCAGUCUGGAACGCUCUGUCCAAGGAAGCCACCCUUGCCCACGGCACUUCCCAGCCUGCACUUCUCAGCUGUGUGUGGUCACCUCGGGGUUUCUGCCUUUCUCUACAUCUCUCUCCGCACUCCAACCACUGCUCACUAUUGUGGAAUGUUUUCAAAUGAUAUCUUAUGGGACCCUUACACAGUACAGUGAGACAAGCAGGUUGAGUAACUUCAUCCUCAUCUGGCAAAGGAGGGAACUGAAGCAUAGUGGCCUCUUCGAGUCUCAUGGAGAGCGUGUCGUGGGCCUGAGACCAGAAUUAAGUUAUUCUUCUCUAAAUCCCUUUCCUCUUCAAUUUCCUGAGUGUCUGUGUGCUAAGGACACAGGGAGAACAGAUAAAGGACCAGGGUCCUGCCUGCAUGGAACUUGCUGUCUAAUGGGGAAGACAGACAUCAGCUUUUUUUAAAAAUUGUAAAAAUAAAUAUUUAGUUACAACCAUUGUAAGUAUUAUAAAGAAACUAUGGUUUUUGUUGUGGGUGAAUAAUAGGGAAUCUGACCCAGACUGGGUAAUCAGGAAAGAAGAGAUGUUUGAACUGCAAUCUGAAGAAAAGGAGUCAUUAGGUAGAGGUCUGCGUGUAUGUGUGUGUGGGGAGGGUAUUACAGAGGGCGGAGUCUGCCGAGGCCCUGAGCGGAGAGAGCUCCUGGAGGAGGGAUGUGGCAGGAUAAACACAGGCUGGAAAAGCUGGCAGGACCCAGACCCCUCAGGCCUUGAAGGCCGCUAGCAAGGAUUCUGGUCCAAAGACAAUGACAGACUCCCUGUGGAAGGAUUUCAAAUGGUUUGAAGAGACCACUCAGGGAGAAUCAGAGGGAUCGCUAGAAGACCUGUUAGAAAGCCAAGUUCAGGUAAGGGAUGGAGUGGUGGGGUGGCUUGGAACACAGUGGCAGAGUGGAGAUGUUUAGGAAGCAACAGUGACAGAUUCUGUUCAGGGAGGUGAGGGUGAUGGAGUACCAGGGAUGGCUUCUGGUUUGCAUAGGUGAGUGAAUGAUGGGAUGGCUCUUUAGAUCAGAAACACAAGUAAAGGAUGACUUUGGAAGCUUAAGACAAUGAAUUUGGCUUUGCACAUGCUGGUUCUUGGAGCCCUGGGGACAUCCAAAUGGAGAUGUUAAGAAGGAAACUGGCCACUGGGACUGAUGCUGAGAGGAGAGGGCUGGGCUGAAACGCACGUUUGGCGGUGGUCAGUGUGGGUGGGAACUGCAGCCCCGAGUGAAGAUGCGCACACCCCAGAGCAGAAUAGAAAGUUAAGAAGAAAGAUAGAGAAAAUGCCUGAUACUGUAAUAUCUACUAAAGCUAAGCAGAAUCCUGACCUAUGACUUAACAACAGCUUAGUUAUACACCUGAAAGAAAUGAGUGCACAUGUCAACUGAGAAUGAACAAGAAUGUACAUAGUAGGUUUAUCGAUAGUAGCCCCAAACUAGCAACAACUACAGUGUCUAGUAGAAAGAAUAAAUAAAUUAUGGUAUAUUUAUAUAAUGAGAUACUGCACAGCACUGAAAAAGAACUAACUACUGCAACAUAUGAUAAUGAGACUAAAUGUCACAGAAAUAAUUAUAAGAAAAAAACCACAACAAAGUGAAUAUACUGUAUGGAGGGUACAUAUACUUUAGGAAUUUCAAGGGCAAGUGAAACUUCUCUAUACUUACAGAAGCUAGAAUAAUGGUUAAUUUUUAUGUGGUGGUAUUCACUAGGAAGGGGUCUGGAGGGACUUACUGAGGUCCCAGAAAUGUUUUACACAUUUACACCAAUAUAAAUACAUACCAGUGUAAUAUAUGAAAUAUUAAAUUGUAAGCUACAAGAACACAAAAAAAUACUAAUGAAAAAUUCAUCGAGUUAUACCAUUCAAUCAUACCCCUCAUGAUUUAAAAGAAGCAGAAGGCUCUGGGUUGAGACUUGAGUAGUGCCAACACUUAAUGAUCAAAUAGAAGAGAAUAAACUGGCAAAGAGACGGAGAAGGAGUGGCUAGAUAAAGGAGGAAAACUGAGAGAGUAUGGUCACCAGGAAAGAAGAGAGUUGAAAAAAGAGGCAGUGGUGCACUAUUUUGAGUGUUAUUGGGUGAUUGGGGAUAAAAAUACAUGUGUAGGGUUUGGCACUGAGGGUCACUUAGCUAGAACCAUUCUGGUGGAGUGCUGGGGAUGGGGAAAAGGCAUCCUGCGUGGAUUAGAGUUAGUUCAAGAUGAAAAAGUAGCCCUGGUUGGUGUGGCUCAGUGGAUUGAGCACCAGCCUGUGGACUGAAAGGUCACCAGUUCAGUUCCCUGGCAGGUCACAUGCCUGGGUUGUGGGCCGGGUCUCCAGCUGGGGGUGUGCAACUGAUCACACAUGCUUCUCUUUCUUUCUCCCUUUCUUUCUCCUUCCUUUCCUCUCUCUAAAAUUAAAAAAAAAAAGUCUUUUUA